GAGGAAGGAGGAAGAAGAAGGAGGAGGAGGAGGAGGCGCCCCGGCCGCCGUUGCCACGUCCCCGACGCCUUGUCCACCGGCGCCCUGACCCCUUCACCACCGCUGCCCUACGACGCCCACUAGAGAAGAGCCAGUCGGAGCGGCGCCGGAGUACCUCGGCGACCCCGAUCGCCUUCCUUGCCGCUGCGGGUCUGCCUGCACCGCGUCGCCUCGCCACUGCACCGACCCGCCACGGCCCCGCUAGCCUGACUCCACCGCCACCCUAGGUGAUUGAACAAAGAUGGUGGGCGGUGGGAUGAGGAAGCUAACGUCCUUGUACCGAAGGACAAUGACCGCUGCACCAGGG